rnacentral:rRNA from 1 species
UACGUAGGUGGCAAGCGUUGUCCGGAUUUACUGGGCGUAAAGGGCGUGCAGGCGGUCUGUUAAGUUCAGGGUGAAAGCUCCCGGCUCAACUGGGAGAGGUCCUUGGAUACUGGCAGACUUGAGGGAGGUAGAGGAGAGUGGAAUUCCCGGUGUAGUGGUGAUAUGCGUAGAUAUCGGGAGGAACACCAGUGGCGAAGGCGGCUCUCUGGGCCGUAACUGACGCUGAGGAGCGAAAGCAUGGGGAGCGAACAGG